ACAGGGAUUGCCCUAGUAACGGCGAGUGAAGCGGCAACAGCUCAAAUUUGAAAUCUGGCUCUUUUAGAGUCCGAGUUGUAAUUUGCAGAGGGCGCUUUGGCUUUGGCAGCGGUCCAAGUUCCUUGGAACAGGACGUCACAGAGGGUGAGAAUCCCGUACGUGGUCGCUGGCUAUUGCCGUGUAAAGCCCCUUCGACGAGUCGAGUUGUUUGGGAAUGCAGCUCUAAAUGGGAGGUACAUUUCUUCUAAAGCUAAAUAUUGGCCAGAGACCGAUAGCGCACAAGUAGAGUGAUCGAAAGAUGAAAAGCACUUUGGAAAGAGAGUCAAACAGCACGUGAAAUUGUUGAAAGGGAAGCGCUUGCAGCCAGACUUGCUUACAGUUGCUCAUCCGGGUUUCUACCCGGUGCACUCUUCUGUAGGCAGGCCAGCAUCAGUUUGGGCGGUAGGAUAAAGGUCUCUGUCACGUACCUCCUUUCGGGGAGGCCUUAUAGGGGAGACGACAUACUACCAGCCUGGACUGAGGUCCGCGCAUCUGCUAGGAUGCUGGCGUAAUGGCUGUAAGCGGCCCGUCUUGAAACACGGACCAAGGAGUCUAACAUCUAUGCGAGUGUUUGGGUGUCAAGCCCGAGCGCGUAAUGAAAGUGAACGGAGGUGGGAACCCGCAAGGGUGCACCAUCGACCGAUCCUGAUGUCUUCGGAAGGAUUUGAGUAAGAGCAUGGCUGUUGGGACCCGAAAGAUGGUGAACUAUGCUUGAAUAGGGUGAAGCCAGAGGAAACUCUGGUGGAGGCUCGCAGCGGUUCUGACGUGCAAAUCGAUCGUCAAAUUGGGCAUAGGGGCGAAAGACUAAU
rnacentral:rRNA from 11 species